CAGCUCUCCGAGUAGUGUGGACGUUUAUUGGGCCUAAAGCAUCCGUAGCUUGCUAGAUAAGUCCCCUGUUAAAUCCACCGAUUCAAUCGUUGGAUUGCGGGGGAUACUGUUUGGCUAGGGGACGGGAGAGGUCGACGGUAUUUCCGGGGUAGGGGUGAAAUCCUAUAAUCCCGGGAGGACCACCAGUGGCGAAGGCUGUCGACUAGAACGCGCCCGACGGUGAGGGAUGAAAGCUGGGGGAGCGAACCGGAUUAGAGACCCGAGUAGUCC
rnacentral:rRNA from 1 species